CAAAAUUACCAAAACGUUAACCCGUACUAAGGCUAGGGUGGCUGAGUGUAAACACAUGGCUCUGAGUGUAAGCACCUUUUCACAAGAAACUUUCUUGUGUUCAAAUUACCGUCAGUGCGAAAUAGCUAGAAUGCUUUCGUAUUUCAACGUGGCUGCACCUACGGUUAUGAGAACGAUCAAUCAUGUGCGAUACCUGCGUCGACCUGUGACUUGCGGAAAAACACCGGAAAGUAGCCUACCGGAAUGUUACAAGAACAAGAAUGGUUACAUGACAUUCGGCCAUGUGACAUUUGUUGUUUAUAGAUUUUUCGCCCACACAUCGACCUAGGGCAGAUAACAAGUAGGUCGCCAGUUCGUCCCUUGUCAGAAAUACAGCAUACAUACACAUUUGUUUUGUGUUUGUUAAAGUGUUUGGUAAAAAAAAAAAACGUGUUAAACCAGUAAGGAAGGUUACGUAACUAAGAAGGUGAGAGGGACCCUAGGAGGGACGUAAAGGAGUUGAUGAAAUCCUGUUAAGACAGACAAUCAGAUGGUAUGGCCUCUGAAGACCCCCAAGACCAACUGGAUGAGGCUAUUAAAAAGGCAGAACGCCUUGCCGAGGAGCUCAACCAAGAAAAGGACCCACAAGCCCAACUGGAUGAGGCCAUUAAUGAGGCAAAAAGACUGGCUGAGGAGCUCAACCCAGAACGGGAAAAUAAGAAGAAAAAGACAAACAAGCCUCCAGGGAUUAGGUUCAGAUGGAGACAAAGGGAUGAGAGAGGACAGAUUGUUCCUCAAACCAGGAAGGCAACUACAUCCACUUCUGUUGCUCCAAGGGCCAGUACAUCAAGAGCCAGACUAGUGCAACCUUCUGGACCAGUCACUGAGGAGGAAUAAUCAGAGACAAGGACCAGUGGGUUGGAAUCCACUCCAGUUUUAAACAUUGAUGAAGAAGUAGGCAUGUUAAUAUUGUUUUACUUUCAAAAUUGGGGUCCAUCUUGGUGUUACUGAAUUAUACUGCACGACAUCUUUAUUUUGACAGUGAUGCAACAUUUUUAAAUGUGUCUCAAGUCUCCAGAAUUUCGGUUUUGAGAUCAAAUGUUUGAUGAGGUUACAGUACAGAAUGUCACCUUUUAUUUCAGGGAUAUUUUCAGACUUUUCUGAUUUACCGGUUCGAAAUGAAAGCACUUUAUAUGUCUAGUUGCAAGUUUUAUUAGUCGUGUGUACAGGAUACGUAUGUAACACGAUCCAACGAAAUUCUUACUUGCAGGUAGCUUCUCGACAAAGCAAUUGAAAAUGCUGGAGUAUAGAGACGAAUUCAACAUUUUAGCAUCACUGUCCAAAUACUUCUGUAGGGGAGUGCAACAACAAUAUCCUGGCAGAGAUUUUUACUCCACAUUUCCUUUAAUAUGAAGCAAUCUGCCAUUCCACAUUAUGGAAUUAGUCUUAGUUGAAUUAAUUCAAAUCCACUAUUGUAAUGUUUACACAGUGUCGUUCAUUUUUGUAACCACUGUCUGUAAUUGUGGAAGCUGGAAGCAUUUGUCUUUGAGGAGAGUUUACGCUGUAGUCAAAAUACACUGAGUGUACAACAUAUUCCUAAUAUUGAGUUGCACUCCCUUUUGCGCUCAGAACAGCCGCUGGCCCAUGUUGACUCAAAUGCUUCCCACAGUUGUCAAUUUGGCUGGAUGUCCUUUGGGUGGUGGACCAUUCUUAAUACACACGAUUAAAUGUGGAUCGUGAAAAACCCAGCAGCGUUGCAGUUCUUGACACAAACCGUUGGACCUGGCACCUACUACCAUACGCCUUUCAAAGGCACUUAAAUAUUUUGUCUUGCCCAGUCACCCUCUGAAUGGCACACAUACACAAUCCAUGUCUCAAUUGUCUCAAGGCUUAAACAUCCUCCUUUAAUCUGUCUCCUCCCCUUUAUCUACACUCAGGUGGAUUUAACAGGUGACAUCAAUAAGGGAUCAUAGCUUUCACCUGGUCAGUCUGUCAGGGAAAGAUAAUGUUUUGUACUCAGUGUGUUGUUGCUGUUUUAAGAACAUUCAGAAUUUAUUUUCGAUGAUGGGAUCAAGUUCUAUUGUGUGAUAUUCCAAUUUAGACUUUACUCAACAUUUUGGUCUGCCCUGUAAUUGAAUUUACUGUAGAAUCAAAGCUGAGGCUUUUGGCUUGUCACACCAUAGAUUGUGCAUAGAUAUAUUUGCUGUCACCUACUGACAGCCCAAUAUGCGUUUUAAUAGAUUAAUUAUAUCAUAUUCUUACUUUAAUCCUUUUCCCAGUUUUGUGUUUUCAAAAAAGCAAUACUUCAUAGAGAAAUGAACAUCCUCCUAGCUGACUUAGAAGACCCUUGAGUGUUCAAAUCCUGCUGUGCCUGGUGCAUCACACAGUUGGAGUAAGGUUAUGGAAAAGGAGUAUGUGGAGCAUCCCAGUGGACAGCAGCUAAAGAGUCAUCAAGGAAAACAAACGACAAACUUGAUGAAGAGGGACUCGAAGUAGCCGUCUCUCGCCAUGGAAUACUUCUAAGGAGCCUCAACAUGAUGCGUGGAGAGAUAUUUGCGUCCCCACUGUUCUUGCAGAAGGAAUUGUCUGGCAGCAGGAACAUACAAUUCAUGUGUAUGUGAUCUGCAAAUUUUGGCCAUACCUGACCAAAGUUGCCCUUCAUUGUCCAGAGCUCGCCACUCUUCUAAACAUGAAGCCACUUCUUUCUGUCAUGCAUGCAAAGGCACAUCGUUUGAAAUGCGGUAAGAGGUAAGUUUUUCUUUAUUAAACUGUUCAAAGAGAAUUUCCAGCUUCAGUCCUUUACAAGGCUUCCUAUUUAGAUGUUUGUUAUUCACAUAAUUGCAAUAUCAAGUCUAUAUUUUUUUUUAAAUGUAAAUUAAGAUUAAGUGGGGAGGACGGAAUCAGGAAGGAGUUGGCACAACUCUGGGGGAGGAAGUGGAACAAGGGAACAGCUUCUUGUCGAGGGCUGCAAUCUGUUCCAAGCAAAUGUCCAAAGGAGGUAAACAUUUUGUUUAAGGUUAUAUUCAGCUAUGUUAAUACUUAUCUGGAAUAAGGAGUUCUAUUUGGCAUUUCUAGCAAGAACAGACAUGCUAACCAUCCAGGCUAUGGGGUAGAACAGAAGGAAGAAGAACAACCUGCACAGAGUAUUGUCCAGAAGAUACUUGAAGGUGUAUUGUGUGGAUCAAUACAUUUAUUUUAGAGGUAUUAUAUCUAUGGAUUUAAUUAAUUUAAAAACAAUUAGUUAUUCUGUUUAGUUUGUCAUAAUUCUCAGACAACAGCAAAAAUCCAGGAGACCCAGACUCUCAAAGUUUAAGAGUGAUUUGGGUGUUAGGCGAUGAGACUCUGUACAACAGAAGUUCAGAAAUGGGAUAAUACAGGUAAAUGAAUACAAAAUAUAAAUAAUCCUAAAUGUAACUCUCCUGGACUGUCACCUUGACGUAGUGGAGAGGCUUGUGUACUCCAAUGACUCUGAGAGCUAACCCUCAGAGGAUGUAUUCCACCGACACGUGCAAUCAAGCCGGACGGGUAGGAGGCAGACUAAACAUUCCCUGGUUAUCCAGGUUGGGGUUCAUUCACCGCCCACAUAACAAGUCAUUUGUUACAGAAACCUUCACAGGCUCCAUGUUCCUCCAGGAAGUGAGUGCAACUUCUCAGCGUUGGAGAUGCGUUGUUAAUUUAUAGAUGUACUGUAUUUAAGAGGAAACAAAUGAGAACAUGGGACGGUCCGCAGGUACUACAGAGAACAAUUGAAGUCCUGUUUCUUAGCAUCAAACAAAGGAAACAGAACCUCUACCGUCGGACAGCUGACCUACACAAAGAAAGUAGCCUUUGACCGGGUGAUGCUCCUGAGACGGCUGAAGGAGGAAGAGUUAAUUGUCCUAAAGGAAGUCUAGCAGCACUGGGAAAGCCUAAAGAGGGAAUCGGAGAAUGUGCAAGACCUUGCUUCACAUGUGGCACUUGACCUAAGCAGGCAAAGCUGGCAAUUGAAUCAGUCGGAAGCUGGGAGCAGAGGUCUCUUCUCCAUGCUUCAGAGGAGAGUCAGCAGCCUCAGAAGACACCAGGACUCUGUCAAACUGAUAUACAGCAAAGCUAUGGGCCAAGACACCUCCCUCCUAGAAAAUAACUUCAUAGAUGACCUCCUGGAAGAGGACAUCUAUGACAGCAUCCACUACAGCUCUGAUGAUGAAGAAUCUAUCACAGACUGAAGGUGUUCGUUUGGGUGGGUGCAGUUUGCACGGGGUAAAAAGUGAUUCCAUUUGUUUUGCAUAUGUGCUUUAUCUGCCUUCCUAAGGAAAAAUAGUUUGAACAUUUUAUGGAAAAUAAACUUUUAUGUUUAUUCCUUGUUGACAAUGUGAUCAUGUUGCACAGAUUUGAGAGGGGCGCUCGUCUGUUACUGCUUUUGCCCGGUUACAUGACCAGGUCCGAUGCACCCCUUUAAAAUGGCCAAUCUGCAGUUGCUACAUCCACUUUUGGAUUCUUUAAGAAUAUAAUUUAUAAAUGCCUCAUGAAUAUAGUUCACCUGCCGUACCCCAUCAGAUCCCAAAAUAGAUAUUAUUUCUACUUGAAUGUUUGUAAACAAAGUAAAUGUAAACAUACGAGCGUGUGUCAAAACUCAUUCCACGGGUGAGCCGAGUGUCUGCGCUCCUCCCAUAAUUGAUGAAUUAAGGUCACUAAUUAGUAAGGAACUCCCCUCACCUGGUUGGUUAGGUCUUAAUUGAAAGGAAAAAACAAAAACCAGCAGACACUAGACUCUCCAUGGAAUGAGAUUGACACCACUGGACUAUAGCCGCAAAACAUGGUUUAAACUAUGGUUACAUUUCUCCAUCCCCAUCCCUCUGCUUUUUACAGAACCACUUGUGGGGAGAACGAUGUAUUGUUUCACCUGGUGAUUUCCGAUUUAAACAUUGUUAAACUGUAAUGUACUGUGCUUGUUAGUUUAUAUUAGUAUUGUAUUAGUUUAGUUUUAAAAAAUUGAAAAGGUUAUCCUUGUCUUCAAGUAAUCGUUUGCAUCCUGAUGGAGCUACAUUAGUCAUGGGCUUUUAAGUCAAUGAUUCCUUAUGUAUGAGAUGUACAAAUGCUUAACUAGUACUGAGUACUUUGACCAGUUACUUAUUUACUCUCAAGGAGCUUUACUUGUACUUGAGUACAAUAACUGACUCCCAUCAGCUGCAGAUGAAACCGGUUAGUUGAAAAAUGUUGGUUAGAAUCUACAGGCACUCGCAAUGAAUCAUCAAAAGUAUGGACACAGAAUGAUUGAAGUGAUCCAUAUAUAAUAUCUGUGUGGAGAAAAAUUGUGUUUAUAAAUUAAGGACCAUGACAAGAAAACCUGCUGAUGAAAAGCAGAAAGUUUCACUGGAACUUUGUCAAUAUUAUAAUUGCAAAACAACAUGAAGUUAAGGCCACCAAAAGUAGAGAAGACAUGAUGAGGAAUACAAUUCCAGAUAGAAGUGGGUCUUAGAAAUUGUUUUAUCCAAUUGAUGUUUAAAGUAGUCAAGUGUUCAUUCCAACAGUGUUCCUAAUGUAAUGGGUACGGUUUCUCCAAAGAAAGUUGAAAAGCAUCUGGUCUAUCUCCUUGCUUAUUUUACUGUCAAGAUAUAGAGCGCCAUAUGUUAGUCUAGAGAUACCUUCGGCCUUGGUUAUUAGGACUCUACCUUUUAAAGAUAAGUCCCUCUGUAGCCAUUGAUUUAGCUUCUUCUGUGUUUUUUUAAUAAGAGGGUUAAUUUUGUAAGCCUCUAGACUUCUGAUCUUUUGUAAUGGCUAUGCCUAAAUAUGUAAGUUCUUCUUUUACUGGAAUACCAUAAUAUGAAGGUGUCACACAAUCUUUGACAGCUAUGAGUUCACAUUUAUUAAUGUUAAGAUAUAGACCAGACGCUUUGGAAAAGGAUUGUAUCACAUUGAUCGAUAUGGGAAUUUGGUUAGCGUCAUUCAGAAAAAGUGUAGAAUCUGCCAGCUGGCUUAUAAUAAUUUCUUUACCAGCUAUGGAAAUAUCUUGUACAGGACUAUUAUUUAAAGAAUUUGCAAGAAGUUGGGUGAUUAAUAAAACGGGUACGGAGAGAUAGGCAA